GUAGUUUUCCCUGUACAAGCUCUCGCCUGCCGCCAUGUAAACGUUCUUUGCUCCUGCUUCGUCUUCUGCCGUGAUUGUGAGGCCUCCCCAGCCAUGUGGAACUACUCAUCACUCACUGCAGAUGUUACUUUAAGACAUUCUGGAGCAGCGUCAUGUGCAGGAACAAUAAGGAAGUGAGUGCUUUUGUAAUUCCUGAACAACUGUGUCUUACACUUACUAAGGGAUUCAUGGGCAAUAUGACUGAAUAGGAACAGCUCCAGUCUGAAGCUCCCAGUGAGACCAACAUAGAAGUUCUCUUGCCUGCCACCAUGUAAGAUAUGCUUUUACUCUUCCGCCUUCCACCGUGACUGUGAGGCCUCCCCAGCCAUGUGAAACUGCCUUUGAGCUUAUACUGAAUUAUACCACCAGCUUUCCUAGGUCUUGAAGCUUACAGACAGCAGAUCUUGGGACUUCUCAGGCACCAUAAUCAAUCAUAGAUAAAUGAUCCAAUGAUUCGGAACUUGAAAAGUGGUAGCUUUAUGAAUUCUCCUUAAGAAGAAACCUGUGCCCUGAUCUUGCCUACUCACCCAAAGGCACUGUGAGAUAGCAUCAAAGGAACAGCUAGUAAGAGACACAGAGCCAGAAAUCAGGGAAGUAAAAUACACUUGACAUCUACGUUCGGAAAGAAAUUUUAGGAGGCAGAAGCAAAUGGAUCAGAAGCUGCUUAUAUUUUUGCAAGAUUACCAAAGAAACCAUUGGUGGAGAAAGUUCUGUGACCAACUUGUCUGAGUCUAGUAAGAUUGAACGCUCACACACAAGUUUCAUGAAGUGGGUUUGAUACUUACAGAUAAGCAGCAAGGACCAACAGAAGCUGAUGAUCUAUGGUGAACUUUUUCCCAAGGCUCCGGAAAGCUGCCUAAAGUAGAUGGAGUCUUCUCUGUGUGUGCCCCACUGGUCCUGCAGUUGAAGGAUCCGGUAAAGCAGCCUGCCCUUGGUUUUAUACUCCAGAGGAACGUGAUUCGCUGGACUAAAGCAUUGAAGUGCAUCCUGUUUCCGGGGGGCACUGGAACAGAGCCUGGUCUGUUCUAGCCAGUCCCUUUCUAUCUCAGGAUAACAUUCUACAGUUAUUCUUGAGAACUAUAAUCAAAUAAGCAGGGAGAACUGGGUAAGUCCAAGGCUUAUCUAUACAAGCCUUUAAAUAUUCAAGACCAAAAAAAAAAAAAAAAAAAAAAAAAAAAGCCUUGGUUCUUAUCUUUCUUUCAGGAAAGCAGAGGCUCAUUGUGGAACCCUCAAGGAGCAUGGGGUCGUCUUCAUCCCUCAGUUUAUAAAUGGCCAAGGAGAGUAAUGCAACAAAAACUUCUCAGAGUUAAAAGCCAGAGUUCCUAAAGAACCGUGGACAAAGGGUUCUGUCUAGUGGGCAGAAUUCAUCCAGCGAAGGUGCUUACUGCACUCCCAGCAUGUGCUUGGGAACUUUAUUAAAAUUCCUUCCUAUUGAGAUUUAAAUUGCUGUCCAGAAUUAUACAAUAUAAUGAAUGGGGGCAUUCAUUAUGUGUAUUCUAUGCCUUCUCCAUCAUUGCAUAUUCAGUCCUCGUGCUAGAGAGAGGCAGAUAAUCUACCUUUUAAAUUGAUAGGUCUCCUAACUACAGAGGGUCACAUCUGGAUCUGAUGGCACCUACAGAACUUGGACUCUGAGCGACAAUCAGUGACCAGGUGUGACUUUAUAUUAUCUCUGUCAGGGAAGGGUGAGAGUUUUCAAUGUGUGAACAUAGAAUAAAAUGGUCUGGUGACCAAAAGGCUCUAUUAAAGAUAA
ensembl:lncRNA LINC02241 long intergenic non-protein coding RNA 2241